GUAGUCGACUUCUAUAUACAAUUGUUGCACGGUGUACGAAAAAUAGAAUUAAAUGACAAAGAACAAUAGAAUAAACGGAAUAUACAUCAUUUGAACGGUGAGUCGAUCACGUCCAGAAGUCCUACCCGUUGUUGUCUGCAUCCAGAUGGCUUCACAUUAUUCUGAUGGAAAAACAGAAUCCGUAUGGUGAAGCAUUGGCUGUCAGAGAUGCGGGGUUUCACAUACAAUACACGCAGACCUUAAAAUUAUCACGGAAGGUGGUAAAGAUACAAGACACGGAACGCUGGAGAUAUUAUCCUGACACACGUGACAAGGAAAAGUUGGUGAAUGGCGUGCUGUUCCAUGGGCUGUCAUCCAGAAGUUAAUGCGGAGUUUGCCACGCAGAUGUCAGGAUUUCAUCCGUAGACACGUGGGGCACAACAUAUACUGACAUUUGAUUCUGUCACGUCUUGACUUUGUAUGCGCGCUAUUUCAAUUGUACUGACAGUAAAGCUUAUUUCCCUUUA